UCUUGGACAAAUAUCAAGUAGAUUAUUAUUAUACAUCAAUUUAUUGUUAUUUGUCCUUGAAC
rnacentral:pre_miRNA from 1 species